UCCGCCCACAUGUCCAACAGGUCUGGUUGGAGUCUCGGUCUCAGCAUCCCCUCAUCCCUCAUCACUGCUUUACUUGUUCAAAAUGUCCACAUUACAAACACCUACAAACAUGUCAGACCUGCUGCUACCAGACUCUUCAGUGUCCUCUGCAUGUAAAUGUGUAGUUGGGUGGUGUCAGCAGUGAGGGGGAAACAGCAGGACAUGUUGAGGACAGCUACAGUCCACUGACUCUGUGUGUUUGCAUAUGUGUCCUGCCUCUGUGCUCCCAGCCGUUAAGAGGCCAGUGUUGAUCAGUGGCUGUCCAGGCCUUUCAGAGCCACUGACCUGCCGGCAGCACAAUGAUGAUGUCCCUGAUCCUACUGCUGCUCACCCUGGGGCUCCUUGUUCAGGAUUCAUCAGGAGAAAUCAUCCUGACUCAGUCUCCUCAGACUCAGUCUGUUGUUCCAGGACAGACUGUCUCCAUCAGCUGUAAAGCCAGUUCAAGUGUUAGUGCUGACAUGCAGUGGUACCUUCAGAAAGCUGGAGGAGCUCCUCAACUCUUAAUUUAUUAUGAUACAACUCGUUACUCUGGAGUUCCUGAUCGUUUCAGUGGAAGUGGAUCUGGGACUGACUUCACUCUGACCAUCAGUGGAGUUCAGGGUGAAGAUUCAGGAGUUUAUUACUGUCAGCAGUCUGAGAGCCGCCCGUUCACACAGUGAAACAACGUCGUACAAAAACCUCCUCAGCUGGAGAGGAACUGAUCUGAAUCAACAGCUGCACAGAAACUGAAACAACACUGUGUUAAUUCAAAAAUGUUUAAUUAUAAUUUACUGAACACUUUUAGUUAAAGUGACAUGAAAACAUUUUUGACUGUGAUCUGUAAGCUCUGUUGUAGUAUGAUUUCAAUUCCUUAUUUGGUUUAUUUCACAUGUGAACACUGAAAGUGUAAUUUUUUAAAUCUCUUUACCGUUGUCAUAAACAGUUAAAUACUUUUCAGUUAUUAUACCAAAUUGCAUCUCAUCAAUGGCACAUUUA